GUACAAAUUGGGUUACGACCAAAAAGCUCGCCAAAAUUUUGCAUCUGUUCACGACCACACACUCGGGUGACGAACAAGCCAGUUUCCCUUCUGGUUCAUAUGCGCCGAUGAUUUCCGCACGUGUUCAGUCUCUCCCUGUGCAUUCUCUAGAGAGAGGGCUGGCCGCGUAAGACCGAGAAGGCAGUUAAAGAAUGUACCGGGCUUGUUUUUAAAGAGACUGAUUCGAGCAUUGUUUUAACCUCGUUGUAUUUAAUGAAGACUUUUUUCUAUUGUAUUUUAACCUCCACUUAACUUCUGUUUACAGCAAUCGGUUUGUAGCGUGCAUUGUUGCAAUGUUACUUUUCUUGGUUGUUUAUUAAAUUACGGAUUUUUCAAAUGUUCAUGUUUUUCCCUGUGCUUAAAACUCAUUAAAUAAAAAGUGUUUACAGCGAGCAGUUCGUAAGGCUAUAGCGUGAAUUCUUGCAAUGUUACUUUUCUCUGUUUUCUCAGUAUUAUUCAAUGUUUUUACAUUUAGUUUACUAUUACGCUGUGCAUUCUAUGGUAUGAUUAACUAUUUUUGUGCUUAAAAAUGUUUAAAAAAAUAUAUUUACAUACAGUUCGUAAGGUCUGGAAUGGAUUAA